rnacentral:rRNA from 1 species
CUACGGGGCGCACCAGUGAGGAAUAUUGCACAAUGGGGGGAACCCUGAUGCAGCAACGCCGCGUGGAGGAUGACGCAUUUCGGUGUGUAAACUCCUUUUAUAUGUCAAGAAAAUGACGGUAGCAUAUGAAUAAGCACCGGCUAACUCCGUGCCAGCAGCCGCGGUAAUACGGAGGAUGCAAGCGUUACUCGGAAUCACUGGGCGUAAAGGACGCGUAGGCGGAUUGGAAAGUCAGGUGUGAAAUCCUACAGCUUAACUGUAGAACUGCACUUGAAACUUCUAAUCUAGAGUAUGGGAGGGGGAGAUGGAAUUAGUGGUGUAGGGGUAAAAUCCGUAGAUAUCACUAGGAAUACCUAAAGCGAAGGCGAUCUCCUGGAACAUUACUGACGCUAAGGCGUGAAAGCGUGGGGAGCAAACAGGAUUAGAUACCCUGGUAGUC